AGUGGUAGCAUCCCGCCUUGAGUAAACUCGCGAUGCGUGCGAAUCAUGCUUUUGCUAGCCUUUGUCCUCCAUAGGGUUUGGUUUUGUUGAUAUGUUUUGUUUUGGUUUUGUCUUGGGUCUGGUAUUAGCAUUUGGGGUUUCUUUGAUAUUUAGGCACGUUUCAGUGCCAAAUUCCUGUUAGUGUUGGGACUUCUUCCUGGCUUCGAUAUUUGUUGUUGCGGUGGUCUUGUUUCUUUACGUUUGGUAUGUGCUGAUUUGUGUUGGUUCUAGUCUUGCCGCUAAUCUUAAUUUUGUUUGGUGAUAGCGAUUUGUCCACUCCGUAGUGGGUAUAUUUUGGCCGAGGUGAUUGUUGUGUGGUAGUGGUUUUGUUCUGUACUUUGUUUGGAUUUGUCUCUUCUUGGUUUUUUGGACCUAUGAUGGAUCUUGCCUUGUUUGCCUGGACGGUUCUGGUCUUUUUGCUCUUGGUACGCUGCAGUCCCUUUUUUCCUUAAUUCGGUCUAACUCCUUCUUCCUGGAUUCGAUGAUGACUACUGAACCUAAGAUCCACAUAACGACUCCAACGCGCGGUUCUGCACUUUUCUGCUGAAACACACAGCAGACAAACGGUGGACCGGAACGGAACGGAACAGAACGGAUCGGAACGGCAUGGAACGUAACGGAGCUGAACUGGCCGAAACCGG